rnacentral:tRNA from 1 species
GCUAAUGUAGCUUAACUAAAGCAUAACACUGAAGAUGUUAAGAUAAACCCUAGUAAGGUUUCAUAGGCA